rnacentral:rRNA from 1 species
GACGAACGCUGGCGGCGUGCUUAACACAUGCAAGUCGAACGGAAAGGCCCUUUUGGGGGUACUCGAGUGGCGAACGGGCGGGUAACACGUACGUAACCUGCCCUUGCCUUCGGGUGAACUUCCUUAAACUGGGGCUAAUACCGGCUAGGUAUCCUUACUGCAUGGUGGGGGUUGGUAAGAUUCGGCGGUUUUGGGUGGACUCGCUGGUUAUCAGCUUGUUGGUGGGGUGGUGGCUUACCAACGCUUUGACGGGUAGCCGGCCUGGGGGGGCGACCGGCCACAUUGGGAAUGAGAAUCGGCCCAGACUCCUACGGGGAGCAAGAGGGGGGAAUAUUGCACAAUGGGCGGGAGCCUGAAGCAGGAACGCCGCGGGCGGGAUGACGGGCUUCGGGGUGGAAACCGGCUUCAGCAGGGGCGAAGCUUGUGGUGACGGUACCUGCAGAAGAAGCACCGGCUAACUACGUG